rnacentral:misc_RNA from 1 species
GAUGAAGAACGUAGCGAAAUGCGAUAAGUAAUGUGAAUUGCAGAAUUCAGUGAAUCAUCGAAUCUUUGAACGCACAUUGCGCCCGCCAGUAUUCUGGCGGGCAUGCCUGUUCGAGCGUCAUUACAACCCUCAGGCCCCCGGGCCGGCGUUGGGGAUCGGCGGAGCCCCCCGUGGGCACACGGCGUCCCCCAAAUGCAGUGGCGGUCCCGCCGCAGCUUCCAUCGCGUAGUAGCUAACACCUCGCGACUGGAGAGCGGCGCGGCCACGCCGUAAAACACCCAACUCUUCUGAAGUUGACCUCGAAUCAGGUAGGAAUACCCGCUGAACUUAAGCAUAUCAAUAAGCGGAGGA